GGCCCAACCUUGNAACUAUCAUUGGUGACUGUCAGGCUAUAGUAUGGCAGAGGCGGGUAGAAUUCCACGUGUAGCAGUGAAAUGCGUAGACAUGUGGANAAACCCNGAUGGGGAAGCCAGCCCCCUGGGCCAAUAUUCUACGCUCAUGCACUAAAGCGUGGGGAGCAAACAGGAUUAUAUACCCUGGUAGUCCACGCCCUAAAUAAUGUCAACUAGUUGUUGGGGAUUCAUUUCCUUAGUAACGUAGCUAACGCGUUAAGUUGACCGCCUGGGGAGUACGGUCGCAAGAUUAAAACUCAAAGGAAUUGACGGGGACCCGCACAAGCGGUGGAUGAUGUGGAUUAAUUCGAUGCAACGCGAAAANCCUUACCUACCCUUGACAUGGUCGGAAUCCUGCUGAGAGGUGGGAGUGCUCGAAAGAGAACCGGCGCACAGGUGCUGCAUGGCUGUCGUCAGCUCGUGUCGUGAGAUGUUGGGUUAAGUCCCGCAACGAGCGCAACCCUUGUCCUUAGUUGCUACGCAAGAGCACUUUAAGGAGACUGCCGGUGACAAACCGGAGGAAGGUGGGGAUGACGUCAAGUCCUCAUGGCCCUUAUGGGUAGGGCUUCACACGUCAUACAAUGGUCGGAACAGAGGGUUGCCAACCCGCGAGGGGGAGCUAAUCCCAGAAAACCGAUCGUAGUCCGGAUUGCACUCUGCAACUCGAGUGCAUGAAGCUGGAAUCGCUAGUAAUCGCGGAUCAGCAUGCCGCGG
rnacentral:rRNA from 1 species